GGGCAUCUGCGGUCCGUCCACCUUGUUUACACCGAGGGGGUCGGGGGUUCGAACCCCUCGCCGCCCACCA
rnacentral:tRNA from 1 species